GUGAGGAAUAUUGCGCAAUGGAGGCAACUCUGACGCAGCCAUGCCGCGUGCAGGAAGAAGGCGCUACGCGUUGUAAACUGCUUUUAACCGGGAAGAAACCCCAGGACGUGUCCUGGGUUGACGGUACCGGAGGAAUAAGCACCGGCUAACUUCGUGCCAGCAGCCGCGGUAAUACGAAGGGUGCAAGCGUUAUCCGGAUUCAUUGGGUUUAAAGGGUGCGUAGGCGGAGCGUUAAGUAAGUGGUGAAAUCCUGCAGCUUAACUGUAGACUUGCCAUUGAUACUGGCGCGCUUGAGUGCGCUUGAAGUGGGCGGAAUGUGCCGUGUAGCGGUGAAUUGCUUAGAUAUGGCACAGAACACCAAUUGCGAAGGCAGCUCACUAAGGCGAUACUGACGCUGAGGCACGAAAGCGUGGGGAUCGAACAGGAUUAGAUACCCGGGUAGUCC
rnacentral:rRNA from 1 species